CCCAGCUCGGUGGGCAGCUCCUCCCCGCUCUGAGGGUCUGUGGGGAGGGUUAGGGGGUCCCUGACCCUCCCGUGCCCCCCCAGCUCAGCUCUCCCCCCACCUGGGGGGGACUGUUGGGGGGUCCCUGACCCCCCCGUGCCCCCCAGCUCAGCGGGCAGCUCUCCCCCCGGCUGUUCCGGAAGCUUCCGCCGCGCGCCUGUGUCAGCCUCAAGAGCAUCGUGGGCGACGAGUUUCUGUGGGCAGGCCACAUCUUCCUGGGAUUCUCCAAGUGUGGCCGCUACGUCCUGUCCUACACCAGAAGCUCCGGGAUCGACGACUUCUCCUUCUACCUGUACCACCUGUACUGGUGGGAGUUCAACGUGCACAGCAAGAUGCGCCUGGUGCGCCAGGUGCGGCUGUUCCAGGACGAGGAGAUCUACAGCGACCUGUACCUGAUCGUGUGCGAGUGGCCGGGGGACAGCGACAAGCUCAUCGU